GCACGACCGUACCGCAAACCGACACUGGUGCGCGAGAUGAGUAUUCUAAGGCGCUUGAGAGAACUCAGGAGAAGGAACUCGGCAAAUUGACACCGUAACUUCGGAAGAAGGUGUGCCUUUAGUAGGUGAACCAUUUACUUGGGGAGCCCAGUGAGGCUGCAAAAAAUCGGUGGCUGCAACUGUUUAUUAAAAACACAGCACUCUGCUAAGACGAAAGUCGACGUAUAGGGUGUGACGCCUGCCCGGUGCUGGAAGAUUAAAUGAUGGGGUGCAAGCUCUUGAUUGAAGUCCCAGUAAACGGCGGCCGUAACGAUAACGGUCCUAAGGUAGCGAAAUUCCUUGUCGGGUAAGUUCCGACCUGCACGAAUGGCGUAAUGAUGGCCACACUGUCUCCUCCUGAGACUCAGCGAAGUUGAAAUGUUUGUGAUGAUGCAAUCUCCCCGCGGAAAGACGGAAAGACCCCAUGAACCUUUACUGUAGCUUUGUAUUGGACUUUGAACAGAUCUGUGUAGGAUAGGUGGGAGGCUUUGAAGUGUGGUCGCUAGAUCGCAUGGAGCCAACGUUGAAAUACCACCCUGGUGUGUUUGAGGUUCUAACCUAGGUCCAUUAUCUGGAUCGGGGACAGUGCAUGGUAGGCAGUUUGACUGGGGCGGUCUCCUCCCAAAGUGUAACGGAGGAGUUCGAAGGUACGCUAGGUACGGUCGGACAUCGUGCUAAUAGUGCAAUGGCAUAAGCGUGCUUAACUGCGAGACUGACAAGUCGAGCAGAUGCGAAAGCAGGACAUAGUGAUCCGGUGGUUCUGUAUGGAAGGGCCAUCGCUCAACGGAUAAAAGGUACUCUGGGGAUAACAGGCUGAUACCGCCCAAGAGUUCAUAUCGACGGCGGUGUUUGGCACCUCGAUGUCGGCUCAUCUCAUCCUGGGGCUGUAGCCGGUCCCAAGGGUAUGGCUGUUCGCCAUUUAAAGAGGUACGUGAGCUGGGUUUAAAACGUCGUGAGACAGUUUGGUCCCUAUCUUCCGUGGGCGCUGCAGAUUUGAGGAAGCCUGCUCCUAGUACGAGAGGACCGGAGUGGACGAACCUCUGGUGUAUCGGUUGUCACGCCAGUGGCAUUGCCGAGUAGCUAAGUUCGGAAGAGAUAACCGCUGAAAGCAUCUAAGCGGGAAACUCGUUUCAAGAUUAGAUCUGCCGGGGCCUUGAGCCCCCUAAAGAGUCGUUCAAGACCAGGACGUUGAUAGGUCAGGUGUGGAAGCGAAAAAAAA
rnacentral:rRNA from 1 species